AUUGAACGCUGGCGGCAUGCUUUACACAUGCAAGUCGAACGGCAGCACGGGCUUCGGCCUGGUGGCGAGUGGCGAACGGGUGAGUAAUAUAUCGGAACGUACCCAGAAGUGGGGGACAACGUAGCGAAAGUUACGCUAAUACCGCAUACGAUCUAUGGAUGAAAGCAGGGGACCGCAAGGCCUUGUGCUCCUGGAGCGGCCGAUAUCUGAUUAGCUAGUUGGUGAGGUAAAGGCUCACCAAGGCGACGAUCAGUAGCUGGUCUGAGAGGACGACCAGCCACACUGGAACUGAGACACGGUCCAGACUCCUACGGGAGGCAGCAGUGGGGAAUUUUGGACAAUGGGCGCAAGCCUGAUCCAGCAAUGCCGCGUGAGUGAAGAAGGCCUUCGGGUUGUAAAGCUCUUUUGUCAGGGAAGAAACGGUAGAGGCUAAUAUCCUGUGCUAAUGACGGUACCUGAAGAAUAAGCACCGGCUAACUACGUG
rnacentral:rRNA from 1 species